GGGCCUAUAGCUCAGUUGGUUAGAGCAUCCGGCUCAUAACCGGACGGUCCCUGGUUCAAGUCCAGGUGGGCCUACCA
rnacentral:tRNA from 6 species